ACGUUAAUCGGGGCAGGGUGAGUCGACCCCUAAGGCGAGGCCGAAAGGCGUAGUCGAUGGGAAACAGGUUAAUAUUCCUGUACUUGGUGUUACUGCGAAGGGGGGACGGAGAAGGCUAUGUUGGCCGGGCGACGGUUGUCCCGGUUUAAGCGUGUAGGCUGGUUUUCCAGGCAAAUCCGGAAAAUCAAGGCUGAGGCGUGAUGACGAGGCACUACGGUGCUGAAGCAACAAAUGCCCUGCUUCCAGGAAAAGCCUCUAAGCAUCAGGUAACAUCAAAUCGUACCCCAAACCGACACAGGUGGUCAGGUAGAGAAUACCAAGGCGCUUGAGAGAACUCGGGUGAAGGAACUAGGCAAAAUGGUGCCGUAACUUCGGGAGAAGGCACGC
rnacentral:rRNA from 1 species